rnacentral:rRNA from 1 species
UACGUAGGGUGCGAGCGUUAAUCGGAAUUACUGGGCGUAAAGCGUGCGCAGGCGGCGCGUUAAGACAGGUGUGAAAGCCCCGAGCUUAACUUGGGAAUUGCGCUUGUGACUGGCGAGCUGGAGUGUGGCAGAGGGAGGUGGAAUUCCACGUGUAGCAGUGAAAUGCGUAGAGAUGUGGAGGAACACCGAUGGCGAAGGGCAGCCUCCCUGGGCCAGCACUGACGCUCAUGCACGAAAGCGUGGGGAGCAAACAGG